ACUUCUGCUGCUCUGGAGUGUAGCAGGGAGGUUAGGUUUCCUGCAGAGUCUGCAGAUAGUUCCUCAAAGCCACCGCACACGCGGAAGACAGGCUGGGACAUCCCACAAGGGCAACGAUGAUGGCUGCGGGAUUCCUGGAGAAGCACGGACCUGUCUCCUAAGACGAGAGCCUAGUGCUUUGCACAGAGACUUAGAUGCAGAGCAGUGAGACUUCACAGGCACUCUGUCUUGUGCUGAGGAAUAAAAGGAACAUCCCCAUCUGUGUGGGGGCUGCGGGAAUGGGCGGAGGAUGACCCUCACCAUUGAGGUCACACAUUGAAUUAGGACUUGGAUGAGCCACUCUGUGCCUUGGGUGAGGUCACUCAAAUGCCCUGCCUCUGAAUGAGGGCCUUGAACUCGGUGGUGCUUUCGCAUCCUUUCGACUCUAAAAUAAGAUGACAUUUAACAGGAGCCCUGUGCACUGACAGAACUGGAGUGGCCGUCAGUGCAACAGCCCUGUAUUGUUGACAGAUCUGGCCAGACGCCAGAGAUGCAUGGCCUCGCCUCUGAGUGUCCUUGAAGGCCAGCCUCCGGACAAGGGACAGCAGUGUGUCCAAGCCCAUCGGGUGUGGCUUCCUGUCACGGCACAGAAAAAGACCCUUGUCUGCACUCACCACUGCUCUGCCUCCAGGGCACUCGCUCGUGCUCUGACCACGCAUCUGAAUUCCACGCAGGGGGCUGGGGCGGAAGGAGGAUGUCUAGGACACAUCAGAACGUGGUACCUGGGAUCUCGUUAGGUAGGAACCGGGGUUUGGUCUCCUCGGCCAGGCUUCAUCCUUCCUCGGCUCUGGGCUCCGUGGAUCCUUGGGUGCUGUUCAGAUGCCAUUGGCAGCAGGUGCAGAAGCACCUCUGUUCUCUCUGUGGAGCUGUCCAGUCAGUCAAGACCCUCUGUUUCCGUUGGCCGAGCUGCCUCCUUUAGAAGCUAUUCCAAGAGGAAGCAAGAUCUUUAUAAGAACAGCAUGGUCAGAAGCCAACACCAUCGGACAACUUACAAGGGGUCUCCCAAGAUCCCUCCAACUUUUGCUCAGACUUGGGCCCACGGGAGGGGAGACGUCUUGGAUUGGCUGUGCACCUGCCGGUCAGCCCACCGGAUGGGAACGUGGCCAGAGCGGGGGGCGGGGAGGAAUUGCACCCUUGGCUAUAACUCAACAGGAGCAUUCCAUCCAGCAAUUUUGUAGGUUUUUUGUUCUUAGGAAACCUGAGAAGUCAUCUCACUUUGUGUGUUUUGGUAAAGGAACCAAGUUUAAUGUUAAGCCGUGUGUCUAUGUGCUCAUCGUUCCGGGGUGACGUUUCUCUGCGGCAGGUGGAUUUCCCUGGGGGUGGUUGCGAUAGAGACCGCCCCCUAGUACCAGCAGUCCCGUCACUGUAGACACAAACAGGACAUGUACUUCAGAUUUCUCCCUGGGUGAUGCUCGUCCCCACUCAAAGCAAUAUCUGACUGACACCUUUCUCCAAACUCCACACCACAGACAUACACCCACCUGCACACACGCACACACCUGAUUUUUCUGAUCACUCAUUUACUUUUUGGUGGGUUUCAUUGUCUAAAUGCUCCCAAUUAUUCCCUACACGUAAUAAAGCUCCAAUCCACUCCUUUAGCCCCCAACUUUGAAGGAAAGAAAGCGAAACAAAACUUUUGAUUUGGCUGUGUUCCCCCUCCUAAUUUCAUGAUGCAUAUUAAAUUUUUACUGUCGACAA